rnacentral:rRNA from 1 species
CCGAUGGAGGGGGAUAACUACUGGAAACGGUAGCUAAUACCGCAUAACGUCGCAAGACCAAAGAGGGGGACCUUCGGGCCUCUUGCCAUCGGAUGUGCCCAGAUGGGAUUAGCUAGUAGGUGGGGUAAUGGCUCACCUAGGCGACGAUCCCUAGCUGGUCUGAGAGGAUGACCAGCCACACUGGAACUGAGACACGGUCCAG